rnacentral:rRNA from 1 species
GAUGAACGCUGGCGGCGUGCUUAACACAUGCAAGUCGAACGAUGAAGCCCAGCUUGCUGGGUGGAUUAGUGGCGAACGGGUGAGUAACACGUGAGUAACCUGCCCUUAACUCUGGGAUAAGCCUGGGAAACUGGGUCUAAAACCGGAUAGGAGCGUCCACCGCAUGGUGGGUGUUGGAAAGAUUUAUCGGUUUUGGAUGGACUCGCGGCCUAUCAGCUUGUUGGUGAGGUAAUGGCUCACCAAGGCGACGACGGGUAGCCGGCCUGAGAGGGUGACCGGCCACACUGGGACUGAGACACGGCCCAGACUCCUACGGGAGGCAGCAGUGGGGAAUAUUGCACAAUGGGCGCAAGCCUGAUGCAGCGACGCCGCGUGAGGGAUGACGGCCUUCGGGUUGUAAACCUCUUUCAGUAGGGAAGAAGCGAAAGUGACGGUACCUGCAGAAGAAGCACCGGCUAACUACGUG